rnacentral:piRNA from 1 species
UCAGGUACAAACGCUUGAAUUUCAAACUC